CCGGGGCUCAGGGGCUGCAGCAGACCCACCGUCCUGGCCUGUGAAGCCCGCGCGGCCGUGGGACGAUGGAGGGUGGCGGCCCGCGUGGGCAGCGCCUGAGGCUGGCGCGGGGCCUGGGACCGAAGCCUCCGGGUCAGAGUGUGCCCCACGCGGACGGCGGGCGCUGGCAGAAAGUGACUCAUGCAGAGUUUCACGAGAGCCGAGGGGCCCAGCGAGUCAGCACCCACCGCUUUCCGCGCCGCCAUGUGGGUCCUGGAGGUGCCGGGAGGGGGCCUCGGACCUUGAAGCUGGAUCCACCACGCGGUGCCCGCGGGCCCGUGAGUGACAUCACCGCGACGCUGCGCCUGGACCGAGAAUCCCCACACCCGGGACCACCUCUGAAGGCUGAGAUCAUAGGUCAAAGCCAAGAACAGAAGCUGGGGUGGGGCACACAGCUGAAAAGAGGGGCCUGAGCAUCCAGGUGGCCACCAGCAGGGGCCCCUUCAGGCCACAACGAUGCUCCCGUCGGGGUCCCCGGAAGAGGGUGGCUACAGCCACCUGGGGGAUGACUCCAGCAGAAGUCCUCUCAGUCUGCGGUCCGGGAAGACCCAAGACUCCUAAGCUGGGCACAUCAACAUCUCCACCUCAGCCGAAGACAGAAAGACCAGGCCCACCCAAGACUGCAAGCUCCGGCCUGGGGCAGCAGGGCCUGUGAGGGCUGAGGGUGGACUGAGCCAGGCCUGACCAUCAGCAGCUCGUCCCCCACCUCGGGUCCCCACCAGCACCCCGCUGUGGCCUUGGGUUUUUGAUGCUUCCAACUUUUAAAGAGAAGGUUGAAAUCUGUAAUUCUUAUGUGAAACCCUGUUUUUCUUAGCUAAUUAAAGACUUAGAAUUAGCUAGUUAAAAUUAAUUAAAAUUGAUUAAAUUUGUGCUAAUUAAAACUAACUGAAUUCUUCUCAAAA